rnacentral:rRNA from 1 species
AACAAACGCUGGCGGCGUGCCUAACACAUGCAAGUCGUACGAGAAAGUCGGCUUCGGCCGAUGAGUACAGUGGCGCACGGGUGAGUAGCGCGUGGGUAAUCUGCCCCCCGGUCAGGAAUAACCCGCCGAAAGGCGGGCUAAUACCCGAUAACACUGACGCUCCGCGGAGCGUCUUUCAAAGGAGGCCUCUGUUUACAAGCUUUCGCCGGAGGAUGAGCCCGCGUACCAUUAGCUAGUUGGCAGGGUAAUGGCCUACCAAGGCUGCGAUGGUUAGCUGGUCUGAGAGGAUGGCCAGCCACACUGGAACUGAGACACGGUCCAGACUCCUACGGGAGGCAGCAGUGAGGAAUCUUGCGCAAUGGGGAAACCCUGACGCAGCAACGCCGCGUGAGUGAGGAAGGCCUGGUCGUAAGCUCUGUCAGAUGGAAGAAAGUAGGGUGGGGGCGUAAGUAUCGCCCGACUCCUUGUACCGGGUACCAGUACAGAGGAAGACGACCGGACGUAACUCCCGG